rnacentral:rRNA from 1 species
UAGGGAAUCUUCCGCAAUGGACGCAAGUCUGACGGAGCAACGCCGCGUGAGUGAAGAAGGAUUUCGGUUCGUAAAACUCUGUUGUUAGAGAAGAACAGCGCAUAGAGUAACUGUUAUGCGUGUGACGGUAUCUAACCAGAAAGCCACGGCUAACUACGUGCCAGCAGCCGCGGUAAUACGUAGGUGGCAAGCGUUGUCCGGAUUUAUUGGGCGUAAAGCGAGCGCAGGCGGUCAAUUAAGUCUGAUGUGAAAGCCCCCGGCUCAACCGGGGAGGGUCAUUGGAAACUGGUUGACUUGAGUGCAGAAGAGGAGAGUGGAAUUCCAUGUGUAGCGGUGAAAUGCGUAGAUAUAUGGGGGAACACCAGUGGCGAAGGCGACUCUCUGGUCUGUAACUGACGCUGAGGCUCGAAAGAGUGGGUAGCAAACAGG